CAAAUUAUUACGCACAGUAAGUUUCAAAACACUUUAUAGGUUGUAAAGAACUGAAAAUUGUCAUUUGUUGUGUUUGCAGCAUAUUUACUGAAAUCAAAAGCUAUUUCAUCAAACUUAUAACAACAUUUUAACUUUUUAAACAUUUUAACAGGUCACGUUACAUUUUAACAUAGGACCCCUUAUUUGAAAGCAGCUUCACAAGUCUUGCAUCAAUUGAACUUGUGAGUUUUUGGACAGUUUCUGCUUGAAUUUGUUUGCAAGAUGUCAGUCAGAAUAGCCUCCCAGAGCUGCUGUUUGGAUGUAAACUGCCUCCCACCCUCAUAGAUCUUUUGCUUGAGGAUGCUCCAAAGGUUCUCAAUAGGAUUGAGGUCAGGGGAGGAUGGAGGCCACACCAUGACUUUCUCUCCAUUUAUCCCCAUAGCAGCCAUUGAUGCAGAGGUAUUCUUUGCAGCAUGAGAUGGUGCAUUGUCAUGCAUGAAGAUGAUUUUAUUACAGAAAGCAUAGUUCUUCCUUCUGUACCAG